GGCGCUAUAGCCAAGUGGUUGCGGCGACAGAUUAGAACUGUCUUUGUAUCUGUUCCUCUUUGAGGGCGCAGGUUCGAAUCCUACUGGCGUCG